CAGCCGCCACGGGAAUACGGAGGGUGCAAGCGUUAAUCGGAAUUACUGGGCGUAAAGCGCACGCAGGCGGUUUGUUAAGUCAGAUGUGAAAUCCCCGAGCUUAACUUGGGAACUGCAUUUGAAACUGGCAAGCUAGAGUCUUGUAGAGGGGGGUAGAAUUCCAGGUGUAGCGGUGAAAUGCGUAGAGAUCUGGAGGAAUACCGGUGGCGAAGGCGGCCCCCUGGACAAAGACUGACGCUCAGGUGCGAAAGCGUGGGGAGCAAACAGGAUUAGAUACCCGCGUAGUCCCUGUCUCUUAUAC
rnacentral:rRNA from 1 species